GUUAUCAUAGCUUACUAUUCAAAAGCAUAGCACUGAAAAUGCUAAGACGGUACUAACCUGAUUUAACA
rnacentral:tRNA from 1 species